GCCAAGAUGGCGGAAGAGCAUGGAAGUUUUUUGUGCGUCUCGCGUCCACGAAAUACAGCCAGACCAACACUAAACCAUCCUACACACCUAGAAAACUGAUUGGAGGAUUCACACAACAAGCUGCACAACCUGAAGCACAGAAUUCAGCAGACCGACAAGUGUGAAAUUUAAGCAGCAAGCGCCACGAGGGGCUCAGCUAAAACCACCGAGACCAUCCAGUACCCAACAAUACAUCUCCUCCCUCUAGAGGUCAGAUGACAUUCUACACUGGCUGCUUUACCGACUCAGACACUCAGGCUCCUGUGCUUCCUGCCAGCCAGCCAGCAAUGGAAAUCUGGGUACUGGCUUGCCAGAGUCUACUUCAUGUCACUCUUCCUGCCUUCUCCAUUGUCCCUGCCUCUGGCCCCCAAGGCCGAUGCUUGGCCAAGGUCCUUCCCCUCUCAUCGGUUUGCCUGACCAAAUGUAUGAAGUCCACACUCCAAUGUGAAUAAUAAAUGACAUUUGCCCAGUAA